rnacentral:rRNA from 1 species
GAUGAACGCUAGCUACAGGCUUAACACAUGCAAGUCGAGGGGCAGCGGGAAGGGAGCUUGCUCCCUUUGCCGGCGACCGGCGCACGGGUGAGUAACGCGUAUCCAACCUGCCCGGCACCCGGGGACAGCCCUCUGAAAGGAGGAUUAAUACCCGAUGGCCUCAUGAGUCCGCAUGGUCUUAUGAGGAAAGUUUGAUUGCGGUGCCGGUUGGGGAUGCGUCCCAUUAGGUAGUUGGAGGGGUAACGGCCCACCAAGCCAUCGAUGGGUAGGGGUUCUGAGAGGAAGGUCCCCCACAUUGGAACUGAGACACGGUCCAAACUCCUACGGGAGGCAGCAGUGAGGAAUAUUGGUCAAUGGGCGGAAGCCUUGAACCAGCCAAGUAGCGUGCGGGAUGAAGGCCCUAUGGGUUGUAAACCGCUUUUGUUGGGGAAUAACGGCGGCCACGUGUGCCGAGCGGAAUGUACCCUUCGAAUAAGCAUCGGCUAAUUCCGUGCCAGCAGCCGCGGUAAUACGGAAGAUGCAGGCGUUAUCCGGAUUUAUUGGGUUUAAAGGGAGCGUAGGCGGGCGUUUAAGUCAGUGGUGAAAUCAUGCGGCUCAACCGUGUGUUGCCGUUGAUACUGGAUGCCUUGAGUACGGACAGGGCGCGUGGAAUUCGUGGUGUAGCGGUGAAAUGCUUAGAUAUCACGAAGAACUCCGAUCGCGAAGGCAGCGCGCCGGGCCGGGACUGACGCUGAGGCUCGAAAGUGCGGGUAUCAAACAGGAUUAGAUACCCUGGUAGUCCGCACGGUAAACGAUGAAUGCUCGCUGUGGGCGAUACAAUGUCCGUGGCCAAGCGAAAGCGUUAAGCAUUCCACCUGGGGAGUACGCCGGCAACGGUGAAACUCAAAGGAAUUGACGGGGGCCCGCACAAGCGGAGGAACAUGUGGUUUAAUUCGAUGAUACGCGAGGAACCUUACCCGGGCUUGAACUGCAGGUGCAUGGUGCAGAGAUGCGCCUUUCCUUCGGGACUCCUGCGGAGGUGCUGCAUGGUUGUCGUCAGCUCGUGCCGUGAGGUGUCGGCUUAAGUGCCAUAACGAGCGCAACCCCUCUCCACAGUUGCCAUCGGGUAAUGCCGGGCACUCUGUGGACACUGCCGCCGCAAGGCGUGAGGAAGGUGGGGAUGACGUCAAAUCAGCACGGCCCUUACGUCCGGGGCCACACACGUGUUACAAUGGCGGGUACAGAGGGCCGCGACCGGGCGACCGGCAGCCAAUCCCGAAAUCCCGUCCCAGUUCGGACUGGAGUCUGCAACCCGACUCCACGAAGCUGGAUUCGCUAGUAAUCGCGGCAUCAGCCAUGGCGCGGUGAAUACGUUCCCGGGCCUUGUACACACCGCCCGUCAAGCCAUGAAAGCCGGGGGCGCCUGAAGUCCGUGACC